rnacentral:rRNA from 1 species
UAGGGAAUCUUCCACAAUGGGCGAAAGCCUGAUGGAGCAACGCCGCGUGUGUGAUGAAGGGUUUCAGCUCGUAAAACACUGUUGUAAGAGAAGAAUGACAUUGAGAGUAACUGUUCAAUGUGUGACGGUAUCUUACCAGAGAGGAACGGCUAAAUACGUGCCUG